rnacentral:rRNA from 1 species
UACGAAGGGGGCUAGCGUGGUUCGGAAUCACUGGGCGUAAAGGGCGCGUAGGCGGCUGUUCAAGUCGGGGGUGAAAGCCUGUGGCUCAACCACAGAAUUGCCUUCGAUACUGGACGGCUGGAGACCGGAAGAGGUCAGUGGAACUGCGAGUGUAGAGGUGAAAUUCGUAGAUAUUCGCAAGAACACCAGUGGCGAAGGCGGCUGACUGGUCCGGUUCUGACGCUGAGGCGCGAAAGCGUGGGGAGCGAACAGG